UUAAGCGACUAAGCGUACACGGUGGAUGCCCUGGCAGUCAGAGGCGAUGAAGGACGUGCUAAUCUGCGAUAAGCGUCGGUAAGGUGAUAUGAACCGUUAUAACCGGCGAUUUCCGAAUGGGGAAACCCAGUGUGUUUCGACACACUAUCAUUAACUGAAUCCAUAGGUUAAUGAGGCGAACCGGGGGAACUGAAACAUCUAAGUACCCCGAGGAAAAGAAAUCAACCGAGAUUCCCCCAGUAGCGGCGAGCGAACGGGGAGCAGCCCAGAGCCUGAAUCAGUGUGUGUGUUAGUGGAAGCGUCUGGAAAGGCGCGCGAUACAGGGUGACAGCCCCGUACACAAAAAUGCACAUACUGUGAGCUCGAUGAGUAGGGCGGGACACGUGGUAUCCUGUCUGAAUAUGGGGGGACCAUCCUCCAAGGCUAAAUACUCCUGACUGACCGAUAGUGAACCAGUACCGUGAGGGAAAGGCGAAAAGAACCCCGGCGAGGGGAGUGAAAAAGAACCUGAAACCGUGUACGUACAAGCAGUGGGAGCACAGAGCAAUCUGUGUGACUGCGUACCUUUUGUAUAAUGGGUCAGCGACUUAUAUUCUGUAGCAAGGUUAACCGAAUAGGGGAGCCGAAGGGAAACCGAGUCUUAACUGGGCGUUAAGUUGCAGGGUAUAGACCCGAAACCCGGUGAUCUAGCCAUGGGCAGGUUGAAGGUUGGGUAACACUAACUGGAGGACCGAACCGACUAAUGUUGAAAAAUUAGCGGAUGACUUGUGGCUGGGGGUGAAAGGCCAAUCAAACCGGGAGAUAGCUGGUUCUCCCCGAAAGCUAUUUAGGUAGCGCCUCGUGAAUUCAUCUCCGGGGGUAGAGCACUGUUUCGGCAAGGGGGUCAUCCCGACUUACCAACCCGAUGCAAACUGCGAAUACCGGAGAAUGUUAUCACGGGAGACACACGGCGGGUGCUAACGUCCGUCGUGAAGAGGGAAACAACCCAGACCGCCAGCUAAGGUCCCAAAGUCAUGGUUAAGUGGGAAACGAUGUGGGAAGGCCCAGACAGCCAGGAUGUUGGCUUAGAAGCAGCCAUCAUUUAAAGAAAGCGUAAUAGCUCACUGGUCGAGUCGGCCUGCGCGGAAGAUGUAACGGGGCUAAACCAUGCACCGAAGCUGCGGCAGCGACGCUUAUGCGUUGUUGGGUAGGGGAGCGUUCUGUAAGCCUGCGAAGGUGUACUGUGAGGUAUGCUGGAGGUAUCAGAAGUGCGAAUGCUGACAUAAGUAACGAUAAAGCGGGUGAAAAGCCCGCUCGCCGGAAGACCAAGGGUUCCUGUCCAACGUUAAUCGGGGCAGGGUGAGUCGACCCCUAAGGCGAGGCCGAAAGGCGUAGUCGAUGGGAAACAGGUUAAUAUUCCUGUACUUGGUGUUACUGCGAAGGGGGGACGGAGAAGGCUAUGUUGGCCGGGCGACGGUUGUCCCGGUUUAAGCGUGUAGGCUGGUUUUCCAGGCAAAUCCGGAAAAUCAAGGCUGAGGCGUGAUGACGAGGCACUACGGUGCUGAAGCAACAAAUGCCCUGCUUCCAGGAAAAGCCUCUAAGCAUCAGGUAACAUCAAAUCGUACCCCAAACCGACACAGGUGGUCAGGUAGAGAAUACCAAGGCGCUUGAGAGAACUCGGGUGAAGGAACUAGGCAAAAUGGUGCCGUAACUUCGGGAGAAGGCACGCUGAUAUGUAGGUGAAGUCCCUCGCGGAUGGAGCUGAAAUCAGUCGAAGAUACCAGCUGGCUGCAACUGUUUAUUAAAAACACAGCACUGUGCAAACACGAAAGUGGACGUAUACGGUGUGACGCCUGCCCGGUGCCGGAAGGUUAAUUGAUGGGGUUAGCGCAAGCGAAGCUCUUGAUCGAAGCCCCGGUAAACGGCGGCCGUAACUAUAACGGUCCUAAGGUAGCGAAAUUCCUUGUCGGGU
rnacentral:rRNA from 1 species